UACGUAGGGGGCAAGCGUUGUCCGGAAUUAUUGGGCGUAAAGAGCGUGUAGGCGGUCCGGUAAGUCAGCUGUGAAAGUCAAGGGCUCAACCCUUGAAUGCCGGUUGAUACUGUCGGGCUAGAGUCCGGAAGAGGCGAGUGGAAUUCCCGGUGUAGCGGUGAAAUGCGCAGAUAUCGGGAGGAACACCAGUGGCGAAGGCAGCUCGCUGGGACGGUACUGACGCUGAGACGCGAAAGCGUGGGGAGCAAACAGG
rnacentral:rRNA from 1 species